AUAUUUAUAUUUAUCUACUAGGGAGUUAAAAUGGAUCUGUGGUAAUAAGAAUUUAGUCUGAAUCAGUUCAAAAACUUAGUCCUGUGACCAGUCAAAAUUUUUGAGCAUCUGUAUACAAGUUUCUGACCCAUCAAAAGAGAUACAUUUCCUUUACCAUUGGGAAUAUUUAGACCUCUCAGGGAAAAAUGAAUCUGUGUUUUCUCUCCCCAGAUUAUCUGCUGUAGCAUGAAUUGUGAGGAGAAGCAGAGUCCCAUCACCCUACCACGAAUGGAGACCACAGUGACAAGAAGAAUAUCUGCAGUCCUCCUUUGCUGAUCAGGGAUAGCCCAACAGAGAAUGUGUUUCUGCUUUCAUAGACACAUCAGUCCUUGGAAAUGGGGAGCCUUGGUAACCCUUUUGCUUGGAAAUGGCUAGGAAAUGGAGGGCUGAAAAGGCCGCUUGUUUUGUCAACGAAGCAAGAAGAGGAAGAAGGAGGAGAGGAGGAAGAAGAAGAAGAGAAAGAAGAAAGAUAAGAUAUCAAUAUUAUAUAUAUAUAGAGAGAGAGAGAGAUGGAAAGUACAAGUUUCAAAAUGAUUUACGUGCAGAUUGAUCUCACCUGCUUCUGAGACUCAGGAGGAUUCCUAGUCCACGAUCAUUUUUAUUAUUUUAUAUUUUUGACCUAAUUUGGGAUAAGCAAAAUGUAAAAUGCACAAAUUUCUUGUCUGUCAGGUAACUGAUGGGUUCCUAGCAGUAACUGGGACUUGUUACUUGUGUUUUAAACGUAUACACACACAACCACAAAAAGCAGGGGCCCAGGACUCUCUCUCCCUCUCUUUCUCUCAGAGACUUUUUUUAUAGCCCAGUAUAUUAAAUAUACUGCAUUUUAAACGUAUAUUUUUCUGAGGCUGCCAAUUUGUCACAACCUCCAUUCCAUCAAGAGAAGUUAUAUCAUUUUUUGCUCUGCAGGCUAAGCAGUUUCAGACCAUCUUGGUGCCUGGAUGAAAGAUGUUCCCUCUGAGUCAGCAGCGUGCUGUUCCAGCAUUUUGCAAGGGGUUUUCUCCUAUUGGCAAAGCCAGGUAAAAUGUGGUCCGGGCUGUCUGGGGCUGUCUGCCUGCUGAGUACAUGCAGCUGUCUUUGUUUGAUGGGUCUGGGAAUGCUGCCUCUGAAUAUCA
rnacentral:lncRNA from 1 species